rnacentral:rRNA from 1 species
UGGGGAAUUUUGGACAAUGGGCGCAAGCCUGAUCCAGCCAUGCCGCGUGCAGGAUGAAGGCCUUCGGGUUGUAAACUGCUUUUGUACGGAACGAAAAGCCUUCUUCUAAUACAGGAGGGUCAUGACGGUACCGUAAGAAUAAGCACCGGCUAACUACGUGCCAGCAGCCGCGGUAAUACGUAGGGUGCGAGCGUUAAUCGGAAUUACUGGGCGUAAAGCGUGCGCAGGCGGUUUUGUAAGACAGAGGUGAAAUCCCCGGGCUCAACCUGGGAACUGCCUUUGUGACUGCAAGGCUGGAGUGCGGCAGAGGGGGAUGGAAUUCCGCGUGUAGCAGUGAAAUGCGUAGAUAUGCGGAGGAACACCGAUGGCGAAGGCAAUCCCCUGGGCCUGCACUGACGCUCAUGCACGAAAGCGUGGGGAGCAAACA